UAGUCAUAUGCUUGUCUCAAAGAUUAAGCCAUGCAUGUCUAAGUACAUACUGUUUAUAAAGUGAAACCGCGAAUGGCUCAUUAAAUCAGUUACGGUUCCUCGGAUAUUCUUUUUACAUGGAUAACUGUGGUAAUUCUAGAGCUAAUACAUGAACAAGUGUUCCAACCUCAGCUUGCUGACGGAAGGAUCGCAUUUAUUAGUACAAGACCAAUGAUUCUUAUUCACCUAGAACCCUGUUCAGUGAUUUCGGUCGCUGUCUAAGGACUAGCAGUGGGGAUCUUAGCAACUUCGGUUGCAUUUCUUGUGAUGACUCUGAAUAACUGAGCAAAUCGUAUGGCCUCUGAGCCGACGAUGUAUCCCUCAAGCAACUGCCUUAUCAACUGUCGAUGGUAGGUUAUGCGCCUACCAUGGUUGUAACGGGUAACGGGGAAUUAGGGUUCGAUUCCGGAGAGGGAGCUGAGAAACGGCUACCACAUCUAAGGAAGGCAGCAGGCGCGCAAAUUACACAAUCCCAGUACGGGGAUGUAGUGACGAAAAAUAACAAUACGGGACUCUAUUGAGGCCCCGUAAUUGGAAUGAGUACAAUUUAAAUCCUUUAACGAGGAUCUAUUGGAGGGCAAGUCUGGUGCCAGCAGCCGCGGUAAUUCCAGCUCCAAUAGCGUAUAUUA
rnacentral:rRNA from 1 species